rnacentral:rRNA from 1 species
UACGGGGGGGGUAAGCGUUGUUCGGAAUUACUGGGCGUAAAGGGCUCGUAGGCGGCCAACUAAGUCAGACGUGAAAUCCCUCAGCUUAACUGGGGAACUGCGUCUGAUACUGGAUGGCUUGGAUUUGGGAGAGGAAUGCGGAAUUCCAGGUGUAGCGGUGAAAUGCGUAGAUAUCUGGAGGAACACCGGUGGCGAAGGCGGCAUUCUGGACCGAUAUUGACGCUGAGGAGCGAAAGCCAGGGGAGCAAACGGG